UGUAAAGCUCUUUCAUCGGGGAAGAAGGUGAUGUGGCUGAUCCCCUCGGCGAUUGACGUUACCCCUACAAGAAGCCCCCGCUAACUCCGUGCCAGCAGCCGCGGUAAUACGGAUGGUGCGAGCGUUAAUCGGAAUUACUGGGCUUGUCGCGUCCGCUGGCGGUCUGUCAAGUCUGAUGUGAAAUCCCCGGGCUCAACCUGGGAACUGCAUUCGAAACUGGGAGGCUUGAAUCUCUGGAGGGGGGUGGAAUUCCAGGUGUAGCGGUGAAAUGCCUAUAGAUCUGGAGGAAUACCUGGUGGCGAACGCGGCCCCCUGGACCAAACUGACGCUCCGUGCGAAAGCGUGGGGAGCAAACUCAAUUAGAUAC
rnacentral:rRNA from 1 species